GUCCAGGUGGCGCAAUGCAGAGUCCUUCAGGUUAUCAGAUCUGAAGACCAGGGUUCGAGUCCCUGCAAGGGACA